rnacentral:sRNA from 1 species
UGCUAUAUGUAAGUCCUAAACAAUAGGGGAAAAAGCCGAAAAAAUCUCCAUUUAUUUUUAAUUUGGCCGUUUAAUACCUAUAGUUUUAAAUUUGGAAUAAAA